AUACGGAGGGUGCAAGCGUUAAUCGGAAUUACUGGGCGUAAAGCGCGCGUAGGCGGAUUAGUAAGUCGGAUGUGAAAGCCCUGGGCUCAACCUGGGAAUUGCAUUCGAUACUGCUUGACUAGAGUAUGGUAGAGGGAAGUGGAAUUUCCGGUGUAGCGGUGAAAUGCGUAGAUAUCGGAAGGAACACCAGUGGCGAAGGCGACUUCCUGGGCCAAUACUGACGCUGAGGUGCGAAAGCGUGGGGAGCAAACAGGAUUAGAAACCCCAGUAGUCC
rnacentral:rRNA from 1 species